AUUGAACGCUGGCGGCAGGCCUAACACAUGCAAGUCGAACGGUAACAGGAAGAAGCUUGCUUCUUUGCUGACGAGUGGCGGACGGGUGAGUAAUGUCUGGGAAACUGCCUGAUGGAGGGGGAUAACUACUGGAAACGGUAGCUAAUACCGCAUAACGUCGCAAGACCAAAAAGGGGGACCUUCGGGCCUCUUGCCAUCGGAUGUGCCCAGAUGGGAUUAGCUAGUAGGUGGGGUAACGGCUCACCUAAGCGACGAUCCCUAGCUGGUCUGAGAGGAUGACCAGCCACACUGGAACUGAGACACGGUCCAGACUCCUACGGGAGGCAGCAGUGGGGAAUAUUGCACAAUGGGCGCAAGCCUGAUGCAGCCAUGCCGCGUGUAUGAAGAAGGCCUUCGGGUUGUAAAGUACUUUCAGCGGGGAGGAAGGGAGUAAAGUUAAUACCUUUGCUCAUUGACGUUACCCGCAGAAGAAGCACCGGCUAACUCCGUG
rnacentral:rRNA from 1 species